rnacentral:rRNA from 1 species
ACACGCAUGACACACUGCAUAUCAAUAAGCGGAGGAAAAGAAACUAACAAGGAUUCCCUUAGUAACGGCGAGUGAAGCGGGAAGAGCUCAAAUUUGAAAUCUUCAAGGUUUUACCUUGACGAAUUGUAGUUUAAAGAAGUGUUUUCUGUUAGUGAGUAGUGGUAAAAGUUCUUUGGAAUAGGACAUCAUAGAGGGUGAGAAUCCCGUAUUUGAUCCAUUAUUUCCUAACUGUGUGAUACACUUUCAAAGAGUCGGAUUGUUUGGGAAUGCAGUCCAAAAUGGGUGGUAAAUUUCAUCUAAAGCUAAAUAUUGGCGAGAGACCGAUAGCGAACAAGUACCGUGAGGGAAAGAUGAAAAGAACUUUGAAAAGAGAGUUAAACAGUACGUGAAAUUGUCAAAAGGGAAGCGUUUGACACCAGUGUUGUUUUCUCGAAAAUCAAUUAAGAAUGAUUGGAUUUUGUAGGUAGUAUUGACUUUAUCAGGCUUGCUGCACUUUUUUUCCUGAAUCUUUUUAAUGCACUUUUCGGUUAACAAGUCAACAUCAAUUUCUUUUGUUGUAAAAGAGGUCAUUGAGGAAGGUGGCUUUCUUUUCGGAGAAAGUGUUUAUAGCCUUUGGCUUCUGCAAUCGGAGAGAUUGAGGUCUGCAGCGUAGAUCCUUCGGGGUUAGAUGCAUUUGUGCUAAGUUAUAGUUUUUCAUAGACAACAUGUUGACUAUGAUUAAUCAUGUAGCUUACUCGCUUAUGCUAUUUUACCUACGCUUAGGAUGUUGAAGAUGUAGCACAUCAU